rnacentral:lncRNA from 1 species
CUCUUCUAGCACUCAAUUUUCAUACUGUCUGUUUAUUUAAUCCAAAAUUUUUUUGGGGAUAUUUUCUACUGAUUCGUUGUUAUUGAAAUAGUUGAUUGCACGAAUUAAAGCUUGGUUAUCUCUUGACGGAAUUUUGGUAGAUUUUCUGUUAAGUACGAUGAAAUAUUGAUAUCGUCACAGAUUAAUCACUACCACCCAUGUGUUUUUGGAGACAGUAAAAUAAAAAUCAUUGGAUUAAGAGGAAAUAAAUUAAGGAC